UCUCCCUCCUGGGGGAGAGGAGGUGGAGGAUGCGGAGGAUGAGGUGGACGAGCCCUGAAUGACCCUGUCGAGCCAGGGCUCGAUGCCGGAAUGGCUCUGGAGCAGAGCAGAGAAUCAUUCCCAACCACGCCUCCAAAGAGAAUCAUGAAUUCUCAAAGCGGAGCUGGAGAGACUGCUCGGUGGGUAGAGAGGGCUGAUUGGGUCAGCCUGGCGGGCCCUUGCCCUCUAAUCUGACAACCAGAGUCCAUUCCCUUGAACUCACAACGUGGAAGGAGAGCACCAGCUCCGUGCAACCUGACCUCUGACCUCCCCACCGUGACCCUAGCUUGCCCCCCACGACCCCACCCCCAGUGUACAAAUACUUGGAUCAACAUUCCCAUAAAAGAAGAAACC